rnacentral:rRNA from 1 species
UACGAGUGCCCCAAGCGUUAUCCGGAAUUAUUGGGCGUAAAGGGUGUGUAGGUGGUUGUGUUAGUCUCGUGUCAAAUUCUUCGGCUUAACCGGGGUACCGCAUGGGAAACGGCACAACUAGAGGAUGCGAGGGGUGAGUGGAACUCAUGGAGUAGGGGUGAAAUCCGUUGAUAUCAUGGGGAACAUCGAGAGCGAAGGCAGCUCACUGGCGCACUCCUGACACUGAAACACGAAAGCGUGGGUAGCGAAUGGG